AAGGCUGUGAUGUCACAGAAUCAUGGAAUCAAUUGGGGUGGAAGAGCUCUGUGAGAUCACUGAGUCCUACCUGGGACCCAGUUCCAUGGCAACCAGAGCAGAGCCCUGAGUGCCACACCCAGACUUUUCUUCAACACCUCCUUCUACAGGCACUCCACCAUGCACCUGGGCAGCCCGUUCCAAUAUCUGGUCACCCUUUCUGGGAAGGAAUUUUUUCUUACGUUGACCCCAAAUGUGCCUUGGCAAAGCUCAGAAUCCUUUUUUGCAUCUGUGCUCUUGUCCUUGCGCAUCUCUGAGCAGUCUGGCACUGACUUGUUGGGCACUUCCCUGUAGGCAGUGCCAAUGAGUGCUGCUCAACUGUUAGGCCAUUGAAAGGUGCUGCUUUCCUUAUUAUUUCUAUAUUUACAUUACAGAAGAAAGCAUCAGUUCAGGAAAGAACUAUAUCGUGUAACAGACAGUGUGUACAAUAAUAAAUGUCAAGAAUUUCCCUAGAAGAAAAAUUGAGGCUGGAAAAUAGAAUAUGAUUUGUGACUGUCAGAAGUACAGGGUUCUAGAAGAGCUUUUCAGUAAGCAGAGCCUCAGGUUUUAAGAUGGAGUUGGAGCAGCACAUGCAGGGAAGUUCUGUGAUGUGAUUAAAUCUGUUCCCUUCACCUCAAUGUCAUCCAUGGCUUUGCCAGUCUUCUUCCAUACAGGUCCUACAAUCUUCCAAGAUGCUGCUUAGCAUUAUCCCAGCCUCUGUCCUAACUCCAUGCCUUCAAAUGAUCUUUCCUAUGAGUUGUGAGCUCUGGAAAUACAAAUUUGCUCUGCAAUCAAAACAGUUCUCCUUUUCUACUGGGUUUGCAUGGCAAAAAGGGAGAAAAUUCAGAGAGAAGUUGAGCCCAGGAAGAAGCCUGUCAUUAUAUUUCCUCUCCCCUGUCACCUGAGGAGGGGAUUGAUGGCUUUGUUGGCACCUGGCUGCCAGUCAGGGCCAGCUCACCUCGCCUCUGGGACUGCAAGACCUGAAGUGCAAGACAGCAGCAACAUCAACGAACACAUCUGAGGUCAGGUUGACGUCUUGAAACCCCAUCAGGAAAGCUUUAUCCCUUGGAGGCCAUUUCUGAGAUCACCUGGAUUCCUGGCAACUUUGCUCUUAUCUCAAUUUGGAGAAGUCCAAGUCAAGCUGACUAACCAUCAUCAGGGAUGAAGAGCAGAAAAUCAAACCAUCAAUCAUCCACAAAGAGCGUACAGCAGCACGAAGAAGCCCAUUAGAGGCAAAGUGGACCUGUCAGAGACUCAGCAUGAGGUGCCUCUUUGGCAGGAGAAACUCCCACGCUUUAACUCUGCCUCUUCAGAGAGAACUUAGUGUCAUUUUCUAUGGGUGUCUCAUAAAACAAUUAAAAGAAAUGUCUUCAGAAUACA